CUCGCGAGGCAGGCCGAGGGCGGAGAUGGGGCGCCCAGAGUCCCGGGACAAAGGCAAGCCUGCCCCGGAGAGGCCCCGGUUCCCCGCCCCUUUCUCCCUCAACUGGCCUGGCCCGGCCCUGCCCCUGGACUGCGCGAGGUUUGGGUGGGAGGAGGCGGAGGGCGCGUCUCUCGGCUCCUCGCGCGGGGCUGGCUUAGGGGCUGCUGGAUCCUCUUGGCCCCCGCCGCCGCGCCCGGAGGUGGAAGCCUGCGGAAGCCAGAGCCCUCUCGGGACCCAAGGUCGCCCUCAGUCAGCUGGCCUGCUCCUGGGACCGCGACAGGGCGGGGCAGGGCGGCUCCAGCUUUGUUUGAGUCCUGGCGGGGAAUGGGAAAGGCCUUUGAGAUUUUCGGUGUUUUGGCGGAGUGCAGUGGCUCAUACCUGUAAUCCCAGCACUUUCGGAGGCCGCGGCGGGCGGAUCACCUGAGAAUGGGACAACAGAGGAAGUGACUUCAGAUGAAGAGGAAGAGGAAAAAGAGGAGAUGGCUGAAACAAGCAACUUCUCAAAGGUCCCACAGCUGGAGGGUGGCUGAGACAGGAUGAAGACCUAGGACUCUAAAGCUGCGGAUCGGGUCCGGCAAGUCCAUCCAGUUCUGAGAGCCCCAGGCCCUCCUUCAACCACUAAACAGAUCCCUCGUCUUCUCGGAGACCUCCCUUUCCAAGCCUACCUGGGAGGCUGUUCUGUGACUUGACAGUGGCUCCCCCAGCCCUAAAGCCAGCCCCCUUCAUCUGUGACUUGGUCUGUUGUAGUGGUGAGCUGACGCCUCCAGGUGUGACCGUUGCUGAAAACAUAUGCCCCUCUCUGUGGUACGCUCCUGCCCUGUUCUAUAAAUAUCUAUAAACACACACACACACACACACACCCCUACACGUGGCCAACUGCCUCACCUCUAGCGCUGGGAAUCAGUCACCGUGCUGUCCUUUUGGAGUCUUGUGGCCCAACAAGAGAAAGCUGUCCCCCGACAUGGCCCCUCCAAAGUGCAGCCCCUCCAGUGAGCCUCCCUGUCAUGCCGGCCUAGGGACAGCCAGCCCCACCAUCCCUCCCGCCCCCACCAAGCAUGGGAGUGCUGUGCAGGCAGCUGUGUGGCCUGACAGUCUCUGCCAGUCCUGCUGAUGGUGGGGAAAUGUGUCGUCUGCUGGCUGUGUUCUCUGUGGAGCUCAGGGGAGGGGAAAGGCCAAGCCAUUUCUAGGGUGCUGCUGGGAGCGGUGAAAAGGCCAUACCCUUUCCAAGGUUCACUUUUCCUGGAAAGCCCCUGGAGCUUCGCUGGCUCUUAUCCUGUGAAGCCGGCUCUGGCCACCAGGGGGCAGGACCAUGAACUCAGCCUGGAGGGAGCCUGCUGGGCAGCUGGUACUCUGGAGAGACAGACAGAAGAGGCCACCAGGUGCAGACAGGAGAGGGAGGCAAGGGGAUGGAACGGAAGACGCCUGGGCUGGGUGGAGGUCAGUGCCCUUAGGUGCUGGUACCUGUCUUCCCGGCCACCGCUAGAUCAGGCUUCUGAGCCUGUUGGCUGUCAGGGCUAGACUGCACACCAUAGGCGCCAUGGCAGUCCCCAUGGAAACACCCAGGUGCCACCAGGCAGCAUACAGGUAACAGGCCUGGAAGUUCCCCAACAGCCUAGCUGGACAUGCUCAAGACACUCUGGGGCUCCUCGUUUGGUGGCACAAACUCCACGACCCAGUGAGGGAAACAGGAACACACCAGGCCGAGGAGUAUGGCUAAAUCCAUUUAUUCCAAAAUAAAAAGCAAAAUAAACAGGAGUCACAUCACCAGGGAUGCAUGACCCCAUCCCCGCCUCCUUCCUGUGUCCUAUGCUAGCAAUAAAUAAGUUUCCCAGACACAAAUAAUUAUUAGAACCUCCUCCCCAUGUGCCAGCUCCAAACACCACUACAUAUGAUACAGAGGCGGCUCUACCCUCUGGAACAUACAAAACGUUACACAGACACAAUAUGUAUACUGGGGAAGAAGGGCCACCCCAGCAGCCCAUGUCCUCCCUGGUCCACAGUUAGCCCCACUGUCCUGCCUCAGCUGCCUCUCUGAAUAAGAAGAUGGGAGCCCCCGAGGGAAGAGUUGCUAUGGUGAGAGUAAGGAGGCCAUCAGGCCUCCUCCAAACAAACCAACUCCACCAGCCUCUGGCUCUUAAAUAACAAUCAUCAGCAUCCAGAAAAUUUAAGGACUCAGCCCUGGUCAAGGUGGCAAAGGGUCUGUUUGUCUUUCCCCAUUAGACAGAGGUCUUAUGUUGCUACCCUAAUUGUAAUGGGGUGACCGGGAAGGGGUGGUAGGGACAUGGUGGCGGUGAAGACUCCAGCCCCGCUUCUCCAGGCUUUGUUGACGGGCCUGCUUUUAAUUUUUAUUUUUAUCCCAUGACUUGUUUUUUAAAUCCCAGAACUUCUUUUUCAUAAUUUUUUUGCAACUUUUCAUUAAACCUUUUUCUACUUUUUUGCCACAGGUUUUUUUGCCACAACUUUUUUACAUUUUUUAUCCCAUAACUUUUUCACCCCAUAACUUUUUUAAAUCACAUACCUUUUUUUAUUUUGUGUUCUUUUAAUAAACACUUGCAUAGUUUUAUUACAAGUUUGUAAAAAUGAAACAGAUUAUCUCAUGCCAAGCAUGCCUAGCAUUUGCACAGUAUCAAUACCUUUAAUACCAUAGUUUUCAAGACCCGCAAAAUAAAAUUUUAAGGCAAAAACAGACCUUUACAACAAUUUAAUAAUUUAUUACAUUACAGUAGCAUGACACCGGCAGACAAUAAUGCCACUUUAGGCAAAAGUCUUUCAGUAUUUCCUUAUGCAUUCUGUUUACAAGAAUUCAUAAAUUGGUAAAAUUCAUUCUAAGAAAAUUUGGCAAAUAAAGCUUUGGACUGGAAUUGGCAUUUCUUUCUCUACUUUUCCUUCCCACUGUUUCUUUCUUUUAAACUACAGUAUUCAUAUUUU